CCUGAGAAACCCAAAAGAUCGAAUGAGGAGAUUCAACGUCAGCAUGUACAGUAUUCACGUGAGUAGUGAUGCGCGCACAUUUUCAUGUUUUUUUAUUGCUGUGCUAUUGUCGGCGUGCACUUCUCCUCUAGUAGAACGUCCCGACCUGUUGGGUCUCAGCCUACGGCCUAGACUUUGAUACAUUAAUUUAUAUUGAAGACCUCUGGUAUUGAAGACCUCUGGUGUCUCCCGGUCUGAGUGCCCGACGGAGUAUUGAGCCGCAUCUAGAAAUGCGUCUAUGCGUCUAGCCUGUUGCAAGCUUGGUUAGUUGUCAUACGUAGGCAUUGCUCUAUGUAUGCGGACGGUGUUCUUAGACUGGCCUAUCAAUACCUGUCAGGGACGCUUAGGCUUUGGGUACUCUCAGGACCCGUCUUGAAACACGGACCAAGGAGUCUAACAUGUACGCGAGUCAUUGGGUAUAUAUUUUCUAAACCUAAAGGCGAAAUGAAAGUAAAAGCUGGA
rnacentral:rRNA from 1 species